AAUUAAAAGAAAUAGGAGUAGAAAAUUAUAUACUGAGGUGUGAGAGCAUAGUAGGAGGUGUAGAUAGGAAAUUGGUAGAGGGAGGGAUGAGAAAGGAAUAAACAUAGUUUUAAAUUCCAUUGAAAAGAAUAAACAUAGUUUAAUUUCCAUUGAAAGGAAUAAACAUAGUUUUAAUUUCCAUUAUUAGGUUUUUAAAAUAAUAAUAGACUGAGUUAAUUUAAAUAGACAAAACAAGAGAGAUGUCGGAUACCGAAAAAUAGAAACAAAAAAUACAGUGUGAGAAUAGAGAGAGAGCACGUAAGGGAAGAAGAGAAGGAAAGAAAAGAAGUCUCAGACCUCAAGCUUAGGAGGAAAAUCACUACAAAUCCAAGUAAGGGCGCUUAACGAAUUUAUCUUUAAGAACCGAGUUUAGUAAUCAUAUGAGUAUAGUUUUUCCCUUUCUCUUUGUCUUCCUUUCGUAAUUCUAAGAAUUCAUAUUAGAACCAAAUCAUAUGGAAUUAUUUUGAGAACAAGACUAUGCACCGAUUUAAUUUUAUUGGCGUUAAUUANNNNUAUACCAUGUUUCGAUUGAUUGCUCUUUACAACUUAAUUGUUCUUCGGUUCAUGCGAUAGCAAUGAUAUUGGGUUUGAUUUUGAUGAAUAUAAUUAAUUUGAUUAUUAUCACUAUUAUUUUAUUUAAACCUUGUGAUGUGGUUGAGCCUCUUUCUUUUUAAAAUAAGGUCACGUGACCCAUACUUAUAUGAUGCAUAACUAAUUUUAUUUUGGCUUCUUUUAGUUUGAAUAACAUAUGUUUUUGGUUAUAAUUAAACAAACAUGAAAAAUGCAAGUUUUGUUCAAUUCAUGAGUGUAUAUGGCUUUACUUUUAGUAUUGCGGUGCACUGAAGGCUUUGCCGGUUUCAGUUUGAAUCUUAUAAAAGUUAAAACAUGAACCUCUACCUAUAACUGGAACAUGUUGCAGACAAUCUAAAUUUUGUGAACAAUUGCCACUUGACCCUGUUAUGUUUGUAUAAUGCAAAACCUGAGAACUACUACCUUAUGCUUAAUUAAGUGUGUUUUGUCUAUUUCGUUCAUCNNNNNNNNNNNNNNNNNNNNNNNNNNNNNGUUGUUAUGGUGACCGUUGUGUUGCCGUUUGUCGUGUUGCUAUGGUGGCCGUUGUGCUGCCGUUUGUCGUGUUGCCAUGGUAGCCGUUGCGCCGCCGUUUGUCGUGUUGCCGUUAUUAUAGUUAUGAGUUGUUUUAUUUUGUUAAUUAUUGAGUUGAUCCCGUUGUGUUUGAUUCUUCAAAGACGAUGACAUUUUGUUUCGCUGACUUCUAUUUUUUUACUAUAACUUGUGUUGCUAUUAUUGUCAGUUUCUUAUGUGAUUUAGUUACUGACCCCUUGUUUCCUUANNNNUAGAUUUUUCAGGUAACAGAUGAGUCUUAGCCGUCGAGUGUCGAGGAUGGCUAUAGGAUGCUAUCUUCUUUUUCUGCUUUCAAUAAAUUAAAUCGCUCUGAUAGGAGGCCAAUUGGGAGGGGGACUCUUAUUUACAUUUUCAGUUAUUAUUACAUUAAAAGAAAAAAAAAACUAUUGUAAUUUCAGUUGUUUUUCCAUCUAGACUAUUGAACCAUGUUAUUCGUUUUAGUGAUUUUCAAUUCAGGCUUCAGGAUUCAUAAUUUUUAACUUUUAAUUUUUCACUGCAAUUUUAUGCCGUUUAGAAAUUAAUUUGAAGCUGAGUAACACUCUCUCAGUAAAUA
rnacentral:lncRNA from 1 species